GAUGAACGCUAGCUACAGGCUUAACACAUGCAAGUCGAGGGGUAACGAGAGGAAAGCUUGCUUUCCUUGUCGACGACCGGCGCACGGGUGAGUAACGCGUAUCCAACCUGCCCCCAACUAGGGAAUAACCUUGCGAAAGUAAGACUAAUACCCUAUAAUUUCCUCAGAUGUCAUCUGACGAGGAAUAAAGAUUUAUCGGUUGUGGAUGGGGAUGCGUCUGAUUAGCUUGUUGGCGGGGUAACGGCCCACCAAGGCAACGAUCAGUAGGGGUUCUGAGAGGAAGGUCCCGCACAUUGGAACUGAGGCGCGGUCCAAACUACUACGGGAGGCAGCAGUGAGGAAUAUUGGUCAAUGGGCGGAAGCCUGAACCAGCCAAGUAGCGUGCAGGAUGACGGCCCUAUGGGUUGUAAACUGCUUUUAUACAGGAAUAAAGUUAGCCACGUGUGGUUAUUUGUAGGUACCGUAUGAAUAAGGACCGGCUAAUUCCGUGCCAGCCGCCGCCGUAA
rnacentral:rRNA from 1 species